AGUUGGAAACGAACUGCUGAUACCGCAUAAGCCCACGGUGCCGCAUGGCACAGAGGGAAAAGGAGCAAUCCGCUUUGAGAUGGCCUCGCGUCCGAUUAGCUAGUUGGUGAGGUAACGGCCCACCAAGGCAACGAUCGGUAGCCGGACUGAGAGGUUGAACGGCCACAUUGGGACUGAGACACGGCCCAGACUCCUACGGGAGGCAGCAUG
rnacentral:rRNA from 1 species